CCACUUUAAAAGCAGGCAGCAGGCGCGCAAUUACCCAAUCCUGACUCAGGGAGGUAGUGACAAGAAAUAACAAUAAACCGGCUUAUGCCGGUUUAAUUGGAAUGAGUACAAUUUAAACAUCUUAACGAGGAACAAUUGGAGGGCAAGUCUGGUGCCAGCAGCCGCGGUAAUUCCAGCUCCAAUAGCGUAUACUAAAGUUGUUGCAGUUAAAAAGCUCGUAGUUGGAUUUCUGUGGGGACGGAGCGGCCGGCCGCAACACGCGGUUCGAGCUAGCGCUUUCCCUACAUCCUGCCGCGAACCGUGCUACCAUUAGUUUGGUGGCGCCGGGGAUCGGCUCGAUUACUUUGAGAAAAAUAGAGUGUUCAAAGCAGGCCACACGCCUUGAAUAAGUUAGCAUGGAAUAAUAACUAAGGACUUCGGUUCUAUUUUGUUGGUGUUCGGGACUGAAGUAAUGAUUGAUAGGGACAGUUGGGGCGGUCUGUAUUCCAAAGCGAGAGGUGAAAUUCUUAGACCUUCGGAAGACAAACAGCUGCGAAAGCGUUCCGCAAGGAUGUUCCCUUUGAUCAAGAACGAAAGUUGGGGGAUCGAAGACGAUCAGAUACCGUCGUAGUCUCAACUAUAAACUAUACCAGCUAGGGAUCGGCCAACGUUAUUCUAUACCGACUUGGUCGGCACCUUAUGAGAAAUCAAAGCAUCUGGGUUCCGGGGGGAGUAUGGUCGCAAGGCUGAAACUUAAAGGAAUUGACGGAAGGGCACCACCAGCCGUGGAGCCUGUGGCUUAAUUUGACUCAACACGGGAAAACUUACCAGGUCCAGACAUAGUAAGGAUUGACAGAUUGAUAGCUCUUUCUUGAUUCUGUGGGUGGUGGUGCAUGGCCGUUCUUAGUUGGUGGAGUGAUUUGUCUGGUUAAUUCCGUUAACGAACGAGACCCCAGCCUGCUAAAUAGCGCGUGUGAGCUUUGCUCGCAGCGAGCUUCUUAGAGGGACUAUGAUGCGCGAUAGCACAUGGAAGUUUGGGGCAAUAACAGGUCUGUGAUGCCCUUAGAUGUUCUGGGCCGCACACGGGCUACACUGGCGCCUGCAACGAGCAUAUCAGCUGGCCCGAGAGGGUCUUGGCUAAUCUUUUGAACCGGCGCCGUGCUUGGGAUUGACCUUUGCAAUUGUUGGUCAUGCAACGAGGAAUGCCUUGUAAACGCGAGUCAUCAGCUCGCAUUGAAUACGUCCCUGCCCUUUGUACACACCGCCCGUCGCUCCUACCGAUGAAUGUUCCGAUGAAAUUUUCGGAGAGUGCCUGUGAACUUGGCUCUGCCUUGCGAACGGGAAGCUCAAAGUCACUUAAAUCUGAGCAUUAAA
rnacentral:rRNA from 1 species